rnacentral:lncRNA from 1 species
UGAAUUGCCUAUUUGAAGCAGAGCGGGUUAAGUCAGGCCAUUGGAUAGAUCUGGUAUGACGCUUUUACCGAUUUAUAUGAAAAUGAAUAGUUGACGUCAAAUGAAAUGAAAUAGCUCACGAAAGAGAGCACCAACCAAAAGAAAACAGGUUUGUUUUUCUCCGUGAGAACGACUAAGAACCAAAUGUCAAAGGACAUCCAAGCAGCUUUGGAAGAAUUCAUACUCAUACUCAUACUGCUCCACAGAUCCUACAAACAUUCACACUUCUUGGUAAGCCCGUUGACGUAUGUAUAAUACAAUGCAAU